ACAUUAGCAUACGAGCUACGAAGGGAAGACCAGGUUCUCCUGCUUCGUGGAACGUCCUCCCAAGACCUUACAAGGACCUCACGAGUGUAAAUGAAAUAUCGGACGUGAGAGCAUCUGAAGCAUUUUGGAAGAGGAGCUGUAGGUGCCGAGAAUGGAAUCAUUUUCCACCCGUCAUCAACACAGAGCAGGGAAUUCCGCUGCCAACUCCGCUAACAGCUCUUAUGGGAUCCCGUAUCCAUCACUUUGCCUUUCGGUGGUUCAGGGGUGCCACACACCCCGCUAAUUUCCCUUUAUGAAGUACUGAGGUCUGCGGAGGAAGCUUGGUGAAAGAUUGCAGUUUCUCUGACAGAUUGUUAAACUCUUCAGCAGUUCUUUGCCUGACCCUGUGGGAGCCAACAUUUCAUGAAUCAUUCCAACAUCCUCUUUACCAUCUAAAAUUCAAUCAGAGGCAGCACAAAAACCAAGAGACAGAACACGGCCAGUCUUAUAGGCACUGACUAUGUGCACUGCAUUGGGUUAAGUACAGGGGUAAAAACAAGAUAAUAGACAAUCGCCAUCCCACUGGAACACAUGAAAAACAAAGAGCAUCCCCCUUUCUUCUAUUAUCUCUGGAAUGCCAGUACCUGGUUCUCUCUCAGAGGAGGAGGAGAAGGAGAAAGUCAGAGAUGGACUGCUCCUUCCCGGGAACAUGAAGUAGCUCCUUCUGCCUGGGGUAUUUACCACAGGCUCGAGAAUCUGCACGCCUGAGCUGAAGAUUCUGACUAUAACUCCGAGGCCACAAGAUGGAGGACAGCAUGUCAACAGGACUGACGUCUUUCACUCUUGAAGUCUAAAACCCUGUUCAGAUGA